rnacentral:rRNA from 1 species
AUUGAACGCUGGCGGCAUGCCUUACACAUGCAAGUCGAACGGUAACGGGCCUUCGGGUGCCGACGAGUGGCGCACGGGUGAGUAAUACAUCGGAACGUUCCCGAUCGUGGGGGAUAACGAGGCGAAAGCUUUGCUAAUACCGCAUACGAUCUACGGAUGAAAGCAGGGGACCGCAAGGCCUUGCGCGGACGGAGCGGCCGAUGGCAGAUUAGGUAGUUGGUGGGAUAAAAGCUUACCAAGCCGACGAUCUGUAGCUGGUCUGAGAGGAUGAUCAGCCACACUGGGACUGAGACACGGCCCAGACUCCUACGGGAGGCAGCAGUGGGGAAUUUUGGACAAAGGGCGCAAGCCUGAUCCAGCCAUGCCGCGUGCAGGAUGAAGGCCUUCGGGUUGUAAACUGCUUUUGUACGGAACGAAAAGCCUUCUUUUAAUACAGGAGGGUCAUGACGGUACCGUAAGAAUAAGCACCGGCUAACUACGUG